rnacentral:rRNA from 1 species
GGGGGAUAUUGCACAAUGGGGGAAACCCUGACGCAGCAACGCCGCGUGAAGGAAGAAGGUCUUCGGAUUGUAAACUUCUUUUGUCAGGGACGAAGAAAGUGACGGUACCUGACGAAUAAGCUCCGGCUAACUACGUGCCAGCAGCCGCGGUAAAACGUAGGGUGCAAGCGUUGUCCGGAAUUACUGGGUGUAAAGGGAGCGCAGGCGGGAAGACAAGUUGGAAGUGAAAACCAUGGGCUCAACCCAUGAAUUGCUUUCAAAACUGUUUUUCUUGAGUAGUGCAGAGGUAGAUGGAAUUCCCGGUGUAGCGGUGGAAUGCGUAGAUAUCGGGAGGAACACCAGUGGCGAAGGCGGUCUACUGGGCACCAACUGACGCUGAGGCUCGAAAGCAUGGGUAGCAAACAGGAUUAGAUACCCUGGUAGUCCACGCCGUAAACGAUGGAUACUAGGUGUGGGAGGUAUUGACCCCUUCCGUGCCGCAGUUAACACAAUAAGUAUCCCACCUGGGGAGUACGGCCGCAAAGUUGAAACUCAAAGGAAUUGACGGGGGCCCGCACAAGCAGUGGAGUAUGUGGUUUAAUUCGAAGCAACGCGAAGAACCUUACCAGGCCUUGACAUCCCGAUGACCGGCUUAGAGAUAAGCCUUCUCUUCGGAGCAUCGGAGACAGGUGGUGCAUGGUUGUCGUCAGCUCGUGUCGUGAGAUGUUGGGUUAAGUCCCGCAACGAGCGCAACCCUUACGGUUAGUUGAUACGCAAGAUCACUCUAGCCGGACUGCCGUUGACAAAACGGAGGAAGGUGGGGACGACGUCAAAUCAUCAUGCCCCUUAUGGCCUGGGCUACACACGUACUACAAUGGCAGUCAUACAGAGGGAAGCAAAAUCGCGAGGUGGAGCAAAUCCCUAAAAGCUGUCCCAGUUCAGAUUGCAGGCUGCAACCCGCCUGCAUGAAGUCGGAAUUGCUAGUAAUCGCGGAUCAGCAUGCCGCGGUGAAUACGUUCCCG